GUAUGUGAUAUGGGGGCAUGUGUGUGUGCUAUAUGUGUGAGGUAUGUGGUGUGUGUGUGUGUUUGGUAUGUGAGGUAUGCAGGAUGUGUGUGAGGUAUGUGGUGUGGGUGGCGUGUGUGUGAGGUAUGUGUGGUGUGUGAGGUAUGUGGUGUGCAUGUGGUGUGUGUGAGGUAUAUGGUGUGUGUGUGAGGUAUGUGGUGUGUGUGAGGUACAUGGUAUGUGUUUGAGGUAUGUGGUGUGUAUGAGGUACAUGGUGUGUGUGUGAGGUAUGUGGUGUGUGUGUGGUAUGUGGUGUGUGUGUGGGGUAUGUGUGGGGCAUUUGUGUGUGGGGGGAUGUGAGGUAUGUGGUUUGUGUGUGUGUGGGGUAUAGUGGGUGUGUGUGGAGUGUAGGUGGGUGGUUGAGGUAACGUGUGGGUGUGUGAGGUACAUGGUUUGUUGUGGAGGUAUGUGGUGUGUAUGAGGUACAUGGUGUGUGUGUGAGUAUGUGGUGUGUGUGUGGUAUGUGGUGUGUGUGUGGUAUGUGUGGGCAUUUUGUGUGUUGGGGGGAUGUGAGGUAUGUGUUGUGUGUGUGGGGUUUGGUGUGUGUGUGGGCAUGUUAGGGGUGUUGAGGUAUGGUGUGUGUGGGUACAAGUGGUGUGUGUGGAGGCUAAUGUGUGUGUGUGUGUGUGUGUGUAAGGUAUGUGGUAUGUGGUGUGUGUGUGGGGGCAUGUUUGGGAUGUGAGGUAGUGGCGUGUGAGAUACUAUGGGUGUCGGUGUGAGGUACAUGGUGUGUGUGUGUGAGGUAUGUGGUGUGUGUGAGGUACAUGGUGUGUGUGUGAGGAUUGUGGUGUGUGAGGUACAUGGUGUGUGUGUGUGUGAGGUAUGUGGCGUGUGUGUGGUAUGUGUGUGGGGGGUGAGGUAUAUGGUGUGUGUGGGGGUAUACGUGAGGUAUGUGGUAACUCUGAUUCUGGAGCGAAUUUAUCCUCCUUUCUCUGUCAGGUGUGAUCUGAAUCAUUUCCUUGGCUCACAUCUGAUAAUGCCCUUAUUCUCUGCAAGGCCUCACACCUCAGUCAGUUUGGGUUCUAUUUCCUUUUUGCCUCUCCUUUGGCCCCUUCUCAGCUGGGCUGUCCCACUCUUCUCUCUGGAUAGGCCUUCCUUUCUCCUCCUUCUCCUCUCUACUCACAUAUGGGCCACACUCACCUGGAAACACUCUCUGCUUGAGAAGAAGGGCUUACGUAUGUCUUAG
rnacentral:lncRNA from 10 species